GUGACUUCUGCAAGCCUGUGGUGCACACAGCUGUCAUCACCCGGUCACUUACUGUCACCCUGUAGAGGCUGCAGCACUGUGCUCAUGGCCACGUUAUGACCACAGCAGGACAGCACAACCCAUGGUCCCUGAGGAUGGACGCUUGGGACCAUGCAGGCUUCAAAGAGAGUUCAAACAGUUUCCAAGAAGCCUCACAACCAUUUUGAUAUCCUCACCUCUGGAUAAGACAAGAAUACUUUGUGGUGGAAAAGAGCUCUCCCUUCAUAGGAAUGAUUGCUACUGGAGGAGAAUCGUGAGAAGAACAUGGCGAGAUACGAUUCCCACCAGUGCUUGUUUGCACAGAUGGACUGCAGUCCUCAGAGAUACAAGCAAGCAGAUAGAAGAGAGAAAUGUGUCCUAUUAGGGCGUCAAAGGACCCAGACUACAUUAUCUGACAUACAAAGGAGGGCAAAGUAUGGUCCUUUCAAGAGCUUUAAUGAUUGGCAAGAUAGGGUGCAGAGCAGUCAGAACACUUUGAUUAAGAGUGAUAGAUGGAAGCAAAAUGGACCCUGGCAUGUGCCUGAGUAGAGAAACACAGCACAUCCUGUAAAAUAAUUCUGGUCGAAUUUGGUUGGAAAGCCAAAUACCAAACACAGGAUGCCUAAAUUCAAACAGCUACAUGUAGCUGUAUUUCUGUUCCUGUUCUCUGCAGUGAUUUGGUCCUUGGCAUGGUGGAGAUCUAUUCAUGGUAAUUCAUAUGACCAAAUACAGAGCCACUUUCUAUAUGGGAUGAUAA
rnacentral:lncRNA from 1 species